GACAGAGGGUGCGAACGUUGUUCGGAAUUACUGGGCGUAAAGCGCAUGUAGGCGGCAGCGCAAGUCGGGCGUGAAAUCCCACGGCUCAACCGUGGAAGUGCACUCGAAACUGCGCAGCUAGAGUCCUGGAGAGGAAGGUGGAAUGCUUGGUGUAGAGGUGAAAUUCGUAGAUAUCAAGCGGAACACCGGUGGCGAAGGCGGCCUUCUGGGACAGUG
rnacentral:rRNA from 1 species